rnacentral:misc_RNA from 1 species
GUGAAUCAUCAAAUUUUUGAACGCAAAUUGCACUCUCUUCGGAGAGUAUGCCUGUUUGAGGGUCAGCCUAAAAAAAAUCGACAUUGUUGCUGUUAUUUAAUGGUGACUUUCGUCGGAGAUUGGGUUAUCUUAAACCUUUUUUUUUUUUGGUUUAAGCGUCUUAAAUUUUUUCUUCACGUUUCUAUGAACGUUUCUAAGAUUUUUUUUUCUUAUACGUUUAAGUUUUAUCGAUUUUUUAUUAGACGUGACCGUCGCAUCGGCUCGCGUCCAUAAUUU